rnacentral:lncRNA from 1 species
CUCUUCCGCUCUCGAGCUCAUCCUAAGUGAUCGAGCUCUUCCGCUCUCGAGCUCAUCCUAAGUGAUCGGGCUCUUCCGCUCUCGAGCUCAUAGACCAGAGAGCCGAGACCAGAAGGCCGAGACCAGAAGGCCGAGCACAGCAGGCCGAGCCCAUGCCUUAGCCAAAUAUCCAAUUUCCACCUAACCCUCUAAGGGACCUGACAACUCCAC